GCUCGUAGGCGGUCUGUCGCGUCUGCCGUGAAAUCCUCAGGCUCAACCUGGGGCGUGCGGUGGGUACGGGCAGGCUAGAGUGCGGUAGGGGUGACUGGAAUUCCUGGUGUAGCGGUGGAAUGCGCAGAUAUCAGGAGGAACACCGAUGGCGAAGGCAGGUCACUGGGCCGCAACUGACGCUGAGGAGCGAAAGCAUGGGGAGCGAACA
rnacentral:rRNA from 1 species